rnacentral:lncRNA from 1 species
AUUUCUGCUACACGUUAUGGAUUUGUCUCGAAAUUCUACCAGGACAGAGGAGGCAUACUCUGCCCGAGGAUGUCCUGAGCGCAGAGUCACAGGUGUCCAGUCUGGGACCACUUUUCCUCCAGAGAUCACGUUUCUCACAGUGAAAAGCUGUGAUCAUUGUAAAAGCCUCAAUCUGAGUUUUGGGUUUGCAAAGAGAUUGAUGGAUUUCAAUAAAGCGCUGAGUGCCAUUGAUGAGCGGACGGUCAAACUGGCACGCAUUCUGGAUGACAGUACACCGGAGCACGCCCAAAAAAGGCUCCAGUGCCAUAGGCUUCUUUGAUGAAGGACUGACUCUGAAUGAAACUGGCCCUGCACAUGAGGAUUUGCAUCUUAACGCAAGAAGCAAAGAAAUUGGCUAUACCACUGAAAAUGACAGCAUUGACUUCAGUGCUGAAGAAAUUCCCCCUGCCGCUGCACCAGGAAAUGCUUGGAACGGUGACCCUUCACUCUUUACCCAUGGGGCAGAGCACUCAAAGGAGCUGGAUUCUGGUAUUCAAGAAGGAGAGAGCAUUCAGCCAGAAGAGGGAGAACCAGAGAAAGACGCGUAUCAGGCAGAACUUGGUCCACCCUCCGGCUCUCAGUCCAAGACCAGCCUUGGAAGCACACAGGGCGACGCAGAAAUGGAGAAACCCACAGCCCAAAAGAGAGACACAGUGUGGUCCAGGGUUCCGAUGUUCAUACGUUUGUUUGUAUUUGCAGCUGUGGGUUUCCUUAUGCUGGGUUCUCUCCACUGGUGCAGGUAUAGAGUACCAAGAUCAUGGGUCUCAGAUAGUUUCAUGGGUGAUGUCCUAAACCUUUGCCAUGACCCCCUGUGCAAUCCACCUAUUUGACAUUAAAAACCCUUGCCUUAAUAAUGUUGAAGCAAGCUUAUACUGCUUUCCCAGUAUUUGGGUAUAACUUUAUUGAAUACAUGUAUUCAAUGAGCUGAUGCCUUUGUCCAUGGCAAUUUUUAUUCAGCUGGGUCGUUUUCACUGGAGUAAUUCAGGGUAAGAACCUUGCACAAAGGUACCGUAGCAGAAGAAGAGAGUUCAAACCAGGUUCUUUGAUAGCAAGAUGAUAGCUCAAAAGUUACACCACAUGUCUCUCUGUAAUACUGUUUUUAGUAUUUUUGGUUCCCCAGUACUUGAUAAGAUGCUACAACCUUGAUGAAAACACUUCUAUGGAUGUUUCUGGCAAAUUAGCAUCAGGUAAUGUUUUUGCAGUUAAUGUAGCCCCAGAUGUCUUCAGUGAGAUUGGUUUCAAUAAAUAAAACCACCAUUAAUAUCA